GGGGGUGUAGCUCAGAGGUAGAGCGCUUGCUUCACAUGUGAGAAGUCCCGGGUUCCAACCCCGGCACCUCCA